rnacentral:tRNA from 1 species
GGGUUUCAAGUUCCUCUAUCCCCAA